UGUGCUGUGAAGGAGUCUGCUGUGAGGAGCUGUCCGUGAGAAAUCACUGAGAAGAUAUGGGACUUUCAUAAUGACAACAGGAAAGUGAUUGCAUUGGCUGUAAAGAGCAGAACUCAGUCCUGCAUCCUCAGAACAGACCACCACAGCAAGUCUGCCCUAUGUCCAACUUUCCCUUAGAAAUGCACUGAGUGUUGUUUUUUGUUUUUUUUUGAAUUUGCAGUUUUCACAGACUGGGAUGGACCAAUGAAGCUGACAAACAAGGUUCCCAAUGAGGACAUCAUCCUGCUGCCAAAAUAACAGGGCAAGGAAUACAUAGAAGUGAACUAUUUUCAAUGAUAAAAUCUCAUUUAAGGAGUUGAUUGGAAAGAAGGGGGAUUGGAUGGUUUCCCCUGAAUUCCAGACAAUAUUUUCUACCUCUGACUCCUACCUAGGCUGUGUUUCACUCAUGAAAGUAAUUAAAUUUUCUACUGAGUGUUCAUAUAAAAUACAUCAGAUGUACGAAGCUCUAGAGCUCUCUAGUGCCUGUCAUUCUGUUUCCUGUGCAUCUCCUGAACAGUAAUUCCAUUGAUUUUAAUGAAGAGGUUAAUGCAGCCUGCCCAUGCACAACUGUGUGCUGCUGCUGUCAUCUAAGCUGGUACCACAGCAAGAAAAGCUAAUAUGAACCUGAAAAGGACAGGGUAAGGCUGUAACUGCUGGAGCUUUGGGAUGCUGUGGUGGCCCACCUGUCAGCUCUAUAAACAGUGCUGUAGUUACCUGGAUGGCUGCACACUGCCUUCUGGAACUGUGCUGGCCAGGGGAGAGCAAAACAGGUUCUGUAAACUGCAUAUUGCUUUAUAUGUGUAGAGGUUAUUGACAUAGGGCUCUUCAAGGUUGUUUGCUCAGAAGUUUGAAUGAGUCUAAUUUAAAAUACAACCACAUUGGAAACGAAAAUUGAGAAGGAUGUGCUCAGUAAGAUUUGGAAAAAAAAAAGUUUUUGAAAAGGCAGGUGUUUUGGAUGAGAAUAUUAUAUAUACUGCAAUAUGCAUUUCCUGAUGAGCAAGAGUAACACCUUAAUUCUGGAAUGUACUAUUGACCACCAAAGUGGUAGACCCUAAUUACCUGCAGAUUGCAUUGUCCGGUUUGAAGCAAAAAACCUCAGUUCUGAAACACUGGACAUCUAGGAAGAAAUGCAUAAGAAAACUGGAAAGAUCAUCAUCAUUUUUGGCCUACCACCCCGACCAGAUGCCAGACUCUCAAAGAAAACUAAAGAUUUUGUUUGUCUCUCCAGUCCUUAAAAUGUUCCCAAGGGACUGUUAACAACACUGGACAAUGGAAAAGCAAACCACUUCCCUUGUCAGCAGCUCCCCUCAAACACAUUGCCCAUGCUCACAGAAUCAAGAGGGAUAGACACAGCACUGGAAGUAUCAAACUUUCAUUCUUCAAGUACACACAUGUGUAUGUAUACUCCAGCAGAAUCUUUCAAUGUCCAGUUAAACAAGACCAUGUGUUAUGUUUUGGCAAUAGCUAAUAGCAAAUUUUGUAUGCAUAUUUAUAAUAUUAAUAUUCUUGCCUAGAAAAUACUGGGCUCCAUUUGCUGUUGAUGUAGGGAUUUAGAAAAAAUUCAUUUGUAAGGACGCACAAAAAGCUAAAUUCUGGUUAGGAUCUAUGCAGUACUAAAGCCACUUUCUUGUUGUAAGUCUUUGUAAUUAUAUUGUAUUCAUAUAUAUACAUUUAUGACUUGGAUAAAUUCCAAUCAUUUGGACCUAAUUUCACUGGUCAGAUUCUAGACAGUAUCUUUUAGAGGACUAGGAACAAAAGGUAAGUAAUUCUGAUUACAAGGUGGGAGGAAUCACGCUCGGGGAACCAUCAGUACAUACAGCAAUGCCCAUUCUUUCCCAUCCAGAAGUGGAGGAGAGAAGGACUCAAGACCCUUCAUAUGCCUAAACCCUUCUCUCCAAUAUUAUGACACUCAAACAAAAAUAAAGGGUUUUGUUUAGGCGGUAAGAAAGUUCAUUCAUCAGCCCUUGUUCAUGUAUUGCUUAUGGCAUAAAAUGGAACACCUGCAUUUUGAAAACGUGUGGAUGUGUGUUUAACAGAAGAGUGGAAGAGACGUGCUGAAUUACUCUCAUGAGUUAGAGACAAACACCAUAAAAUAGAGUGUUCUUGGUACAGGAUGUACAUAAUCCAACUGCUCCAAACACGGGAAGAAAAUUAAAGAGGAGACAAAGGAGUAUCAUCAUUCAGACACAAAGAUGUUUUGGAGACUUGACUUUAAAAGUACUGAAAAAAGUAGAUUGGCUUAUAAGCAUAAAACACAAAACAGUGAGCUAAAAUCAAGGAAGAACAAGGGCAAAGGAGAACAAAAAAAAAAUUGAUAUUGGAAUUAACUGAGAAAUUAUUUAAGGAAACGGGGGGGAAAUUGAAGACAGAACACAGGAUGGGUAUGAAUAACCUAGCCAGCGGUGACUAUAGCCUGGGAAACAGUUUGCUAUCAGCCUGUACCACAGAUCCCUACAUGCAGAAGGUGCAAAUAAUGAGCAGGAAAUGAGACUUGGAGCUAUGCAUCAAGCCAAAUAAUGAAAAUACUUCUCUGUCACUCUGGAAACAUAAUUUUAGAGUAUUUUUCACCAUGGUAAUCACUCAACAAAAGGCUUUUGACAUAAUAAUGUUCAGUGCUUCAAUGCUUAAAAGUCAUGCACUCAGCAUAUUCAAAAAAAUGGAAUUCAUAAA